rnacentral:lncRNA from 1 species
AAAUUCUGCAAAUUAUCCACACAGUAUUAGACAAAAUGUAAGUGUUCACCAACUACAAGUUGAAAGGAGGAAUGAACAAAAUGAUGGUGAGCUAAACUUUUUCUUUUUUUAGACGGAGUUUCGCUCUUGUUGCCCAGGCUGGAGUGCAAUGGCACGAUCUCAGCUCACCACAACCUCUGCCUCCUGGGUUCAAGCAAUUCUCCUGCCUCAGCCUCCUGAGUAGCUGGGAUUACAGGCAUGUGCCACCACGCCCGGCUAAUAUUGUAUUUUUAGUAAGGACGAGGUUUCUCCACGUUGGUCAGGCUGGCCUCGAACUCCCGACCUCAGGUGAUCCGCCUGCCUCAGCCUCCCAAAGUACUGGGAUUACAGGUGUGAGCCACUGUGCCUGGCUGGUGCACUGAACCUUUAAGAACAGGUAAGAUUUAGAGAAAUUGAGGGGAGGUGGGGAGGGGAGAGAAGGAAAAGUGCCUUUCAACAAGGUGAAUGGUAAUCAGGCAGAAAACUGAUGGGAAAAUGGGAAGGUAUGAGUAGACUAUUCAAUAUGACCAAGCAGCAAAAUGAGAAACUUGGGGAAGACAUGGAAUGCCUGACUAUGGGGCUUAGGACUUUGUUUUCUAAAUGAGGACAGUUCUAAAUGAGGAAGAAUAAAUAACUUCCAUUUAUUCAUUUAUUUUAAUUUUGAGACAGGGUCUCUGAUAUGCUCUGGUUGUGUCCCCACCCAAAUCUGAUCUUGAAUUGUAAUCCCCAUAAUCUCCACGUGUCUAGGAAGAGACCUGGUAGGAGGUGGUUGGAUCAUGGGGUUGGAUUCCCCCACGCUGUUCUCAUGAUUUUGAGUGAAUUCUCAUGAGAUCUGAUGGUUUUAUAAGGGACUGUUCUGCCUUCACUCCUCACACUUCUCUCUCUCCUGUUGCCAUGUGAAGAAGGUCUUUGCUUCCCCUUCGCCUUCCGCCAUGACUGUAAGUUUCCUGAGGCCUCCCCAUGUGGAACUGUGAGUCAAUUAAACCUCUUUCCUUUAUAAAUCAGCCAGUCUUGGGUAUUUCUUUAUAGCACUGUGAGAACGGACUAACACAGUCUCACUACUUUUCCCAGGCUGGUCACGAACUCCUGAACUGAAGCCACCCUACCACCUCAGUCUCCUGAGAUAGCUGGGACUACAGGAACUGUGGCUGGCUAAGCCUUUAUUUUUAAUGCAGAGGAACCCUUUAUUUAAAUUAAACCCUAUGUGAAAUCCCAAUAUAUAAAACAGUUUUGUAAAAGCAAAGCAGUACCCAUUGAAGCACCCUGGUUUCCACCCACUGGGUCCCCAUAUUACCCAACUUGAGAAGACCCUGAAACUCCUUCUCGGUUUAAAAACCACUGGAUUAGAAAAAGAUCUGCAAGGCUAAUAACAAAGUGCUCAAAGCAUUUACCUCUAAGGAACUGGGUAUGCCUAGAUUGAGGUGGCUGGGGGAGGGGUAAGCAGUAAUAGAAAGCAAGAUUGAAAUAUCAUUUUCACUUUUUUUGAUUCUACAUAUUUUUAUAUUAUUUGAACUUUUGUUUGAGUACUUUUUACUUUUUAAUUUAAAAAGUAAUUAACAGGAAGAAACUAUUGCUCUAAAAAAGUAUUUUUAAUGGUUAAACUUUUUCAAAUGGAUUCCCAUAUUUUAGUAAAUAAUUUCCCUAUAGCAGGACAUUAUUUGGCUAAAUUACAUUGCAAUGAAAAUGAAUAUCUCUGUGCCUAAUACUUUCCCAUAUUUAGAGUUAUUUCCUUAGGAUAAACUUAUACAAGUUAACAGUUUCCAUUUAGUUCUACAAUGUACUACUUAAAUUAAGACUCUGUGGAAUAUAAAAAGAUAAAAUUCUCUGAGUGCUUUUUAAAAGCCAUCUCAUAUUAGCAAAAUUUGAUUUUGGCAUUCCAGUUUAAGAUACAUAAACCCUAACUUAAAAACUAACGAGCAAAAUUUUUCACAAAUCAAAAAUUUAGUAAGAUAAAUUUGAAUCAGAACUGAAAUCUCCUUACCUUUUAUGAACUGUUCGUAACUUCUUUUACCACUGAUCGGAACCAAACACUGAAAGAAUUUUUCCUUUAUGGUUGGGUUUCACAAUUUAAUUCUGUGAAGUCAUAAUACUGUGACAGUAGAAUCAUGCUCUGGCAACAAACUGACAUCAUUAAAUUCUUAUUUGUAAAUUCUUUAGGGUAUAUGGAUGUUCUAUUUUCAUUUGUAAGAACAAAAUCUAUUUUCUGUUGAUUCUUCAUUAAGCUCAUAUGAUUGAUAUAUUUUCAUCCAUUUAGGUUGGUGCAAAAGUAAUUGCAGUUUUUGUCAUUACUUUUAAUUGCAAAAACUGCACUUACUUUUGCACCAACCUAAUAAUUUAUUCCUUUUGUCCUUAGCCAUUUUUCUAACA